rnacentral:rRNA from 1 species
UACGAAGGGGGCUAGCGUUGUUCGGAAUUACUGGGCGUAAAGCGCGCGCAGGCGGUUCUCCAAGUCAGUGGUGAAAGCCCGGAGCUCAACUCCGGAACUGCCAUUGAAACUGUUGAACUUGAGGACGAGAGAGGUGAGUGGAAUUCCCAGUGUAGAGGUGAAAUUCGUAGAUAUUGGGAAGAACACCGGUGGCGAAGGCGGCUCACUGGCCCGAAACUGACGCUCAUGCACGACAGCGUGGGGAUCAAACAGG